rnacentral:rRNA from 1 species
UAAGGAAUAUUGCGCAAUGGACGACAGUCUGACGCAGCGACGCCGCGUGGGGGACGAAGGUCUUCGGAUUGUAAACCCCUUUCGGGAGGGAAGAUGGAAUGGGGUAACCCAUUCGGACGGUACCUCCAGAAGCAGCCACGGCUAACUUCGUGCCAGCAGCCGCGGUAAUACGAAGGUGGCAAGCGUUGUUCGGAUUUACUGGGCGUACAGGGAGCGUAGGCGGUUCGGUAAGCCCUCUGUGAAAUCUCCAGGCUUAACCUGGAACAGUCGGAGGGGACUGCUGAGCUAGAGGAUGGGAGAGGAGCGCGGAAUUCCCGGUGUAGCGGUGAAAUGCGUAGAGAUCGGGAGGAAGGCCGGUGGCGAAGGCGGCGCUCUGGAACAUAUCUGACGCUGAGGCUCGAAAGCGUGGGGAGCAAACAGG